UGCCCAGCAACUCCUAUCCCUACCUCCUCGUGGUACUGGCCGGGGUACGAGUAACCUUAUAGGGAAGAUCGGAUAACCAACCCCCGGGGGAACUUUGGUCGUAUGCUGACAGGGAAGG
rnacentral:ribozyme from 1 species